GCUGUUGCUACUGGUGACUCAGAUAUCAGCUGUAAACCAGCUUCCCAGUUAUAUCUAAAAAGAUCACCUUCGAACGAAAACAAAUCAGACUAACUUUCACAUUCUAACCCAUUCCAUUUGCUUGUAUAUAGUCAUUCCCUAACCCUUGCUGGUUCACUUUGGAAAUGAAGGAUGUAAAAUCCAUUUCAUUUCAAAUUAUUUUUAUAUAGAAGC
rnacentral:misc_RNA from 1 species